rnacentral:rRNA from 1 species
AUUGAACGCUGGCGUCAGGCCUAACACAUGCAAGUCGAACGAGUGGCGGACGGGUGAGUAAUGUCUGGGAACCUGCCCGAUGGAGGGGGAUAACUACUGGAAACGGUAGCUAAUACCGCAUACCAUCUGAUGUGCCCAGAUGGGAUUAGCUGGUAGGUGGGGUAACGGCUCACCUAGGCGACGAUCCCUAGCUGGUCUGAGAGGAUGCCCAGCCACAAUGGAACUGAGCCACGGUCCAGACUCCUACGGGAGGCAGCAGUGGGGAAUAUUGCACAAUGGGCGCAAGCCUGAUGCAGCCAUGCCGCGUGUGUGAAGAAGGCCUUCGGGUUGUAAAGCACUUUCAGUGGGGAGGCGUUACUCGCAGAAGAAGCACCGGCUAACUCCGUGCCAGCAGCCGCGGUAAUAC